UCUUCAAGUGGUCGGGAUAAUUAUUGGGCUUAAAGUGUCCGUAGCAGGUUUAGUAAGUUCCUGGUAAAACCGGGCAGCUUAACUGUCCGUAUGCUAGGAAUACUGCUAUGCUAGAGGGCGGGAGAGGUCUGAGGUACUACAGGGGUAGGGGUGAAAUCUUAUAAUCCUUGUAGGACCACCAGUGGCGAAAGCGUCAGACUGGAACGCGCCUGACGGUGAGGGACGAAAGCCAGGGGAGCGAACCGGAUUAGAUACCCGGGUAGUCCUGGCCGUAAACGAUGCAUACUAGGCAAUGGUGCGGCCAUGAGCCGCAUCAGUACCGUGGGGAAGCCGUUAAGUGUGCCGCCUGGGAAGUACGGUCGCAAGGCUAAAACUUAAAGGAAUUGGCGGGGGGGCACCACAAGGGGUGAAGCCUGCGGUUCAAUUGGACUCAACGCCGGGAAACUUACCAGGGGAGACAGCAGAAUGACAGUCAGGUUGACGACCUUACUCGACGAGCUGAGAGGAGGUGCAUGGCCGUCGCCAGUUCGUGCUGUGAGGUAUCCUGUUAAGUCAGGCAACGAACGAGAUCCGCGCCUUUAUUUGCCAUUAAGAAGUCACGACUUCGUUGGGAACACUAAAGGGCCCGCCGUCGAUAAGACGGAGGAA
rnacentral:rRNA from 1 species